UUAAGUGCAGUUAAGUUUAAGAAUCACAGCACAUGGAGAAGGCAAGUGAAAUAAAAGACAGCCUGACUUGUAGUGAGAUUCCUUGUAAUAGGCACUGAAUAGUACCCAAGGAGUGCAACAAGUUACUGCUGUACAAGCAGGCAGUUGGCAAGAUGAGUGUUUCUGUUGGUGGAGGCUCUAUUUCAGCAGGAGCCACUUUUUCAGCAGCAGAACCUUCUUGUACAACAGAAAAGUAAAGAUGUUUCUAGAAGGCACCAGGAGCUCUGUCUGCACUGAGCACCAUGAAGUUCACUUGCAUUGAGUUCUGAUUUUACAACACUGACUCCCAGACCAAAAGAUAACUUUUUCUCUCCAAUCUAUGUUCCAGGCAAACCAAUAGACUCCAACUGUCUCCCAGCCAUCUAUAGCAAAGACACUUUGUCCAAAACUGAGUAUCAUGAAAUACUUAAAGUGCUUUUCCAAUAUUCACUAUGUUUGGGAAACAUAUUAAAAAUAGACAAUAAAAAAUUUUUGCUGUGUUUUUUAUUCUUAAACAUGUAGCACACAGGGCUGAACAGUAAUGAAUAUUACAUGUUACCAACUUCAAUUUUAAUUAUUGUUAAUUUUGUCCU